GAUGAACGCUAGCGGCAGGCCUAAUACAUGCAAGCCGAACGGCAAGAACUUUAGCAAUAGAGUUCCUAGAGUGGCGUAAGGGUGCGUAACACGUAUGCAAUCUGCCCUCAACAGGAGGAUAGCUCCCCGAAAGGGGAAUUAAGACUCCAUAAGAUCAUUUUAUGGCAUCAUGAGAUGAUUAAACUACCAGGGGUUGAGGAUGAGCAUGCGCAUGAUUAGUUAGUUGGCGGGUAACGGCCCACCAAGACGAUGAUCAUUAGGGGAA
rnacentral:rRNA from 1 species